AACAGAGAGAGUAUAUAAUAUAUGCAGCGGAGCUGGAGCGCAUCUUGACUUGUGGUCUGGAGCGCAUCUUGACUUGUGGUCUGCAAUGUUAGAAUCGCAGAGCAGCUAACUCUUCUUUUCCUUGUCUCUGUUGAGAAUUAAACUCACAAAGCGUAACCAUGAAUAUUUUUGUUUUUGUUUUUUGGGUUCUCUUUUUAUUUUCUAUAGUGUGGAAAACUAUUUCAGAUAUUUCAAGUGACUACCUUUGAUGGGUUUUCUGCUUUCAAAUGACAAAAUUGCAAGUCAUAUAUAUCAUAGCUGCUGCAGCAAGUGUUGCAUCAAGUGUUGCAUCAAGCUAUUAAUUUAGAGGUUGAAGCAGUUAUAAAGUUCGACGUUGAAGCACUGAUUCUUCUGAACCCACGAGCCCAUUGCUAGAUCAGUCACUGGUGUUUGUCUGUA